AGCAAUAGCGCUUGUUUUAUAAAAAUUUUCCAAAAUGCUUGUUAAAGAAUCGAUUUCUUCUUUUGUAGUAUCAAAGACUCGAUACCAGUCUUUGGGUAAUUUCAUACCGAUAACUCUAGCUGCCAUUGCGAUGCAGCCGCAUGCCAAACUAAACGGAGGAUACAAAACGCAAAGUCGAGUUCGGCUAGCAUCGUUUAAAAAAUUCCAUGUUAUUUGUAAAAGCUUUUUGUUAUCAAUUAGCUGUAAUGUUUGUAGAUAAUGAAUUGCCAGCUUGUGAGGAAUGACAAUAUGGGUAUCAAAAUUCAAUGCUCGUAAGACCUCCAAUUCCAUGUUUGAUAAUCUAUUCCUGGAACUAUACAUCUCCUCACUGUACAAAUCGUGAGCAAUGAAUCCUCGUGCUUCAAAAUUCGUGUCCUUGAAACGCUCUUUAAGAUAGACUACAACAUUACAUAUGUCUUGUACAGAAGCUGGAGUUUCGGUAGUUUUACUUCCAAUGGACACACAAGCCAUAACGAUAGCAUCAAGAUCGGGAACUCUCGGCGGAUAAAGUGUGCAGUAUCUUCGAAACAAAAUCAAACAAACAAUUACACAAUUUUGAGUUCUAACAAUGUUAAUAAAAAGUUCAAAUGCAUUUUAUCGCCACAAUCCGGCUACUAAAAGCUUUGGAAAAUAAAUGUAAGAAGACUUACAGAUUCAAAAGAACGCCUGCUUCCUGAAUCCAUUCAGAACCUAAUGUACAUAGUUCCUCUGCAUAUUCAAAAGAAUCAAAGGCUUCUAACUGGGAAGAAGAGGCAAGGGAAUGUACCAAAGAAUCUGCCAUCAGAAUAUUCCUCAAGAAUCAGAAUUAUUUACUUAACCGAAAACACGAUAUUCCCAUACCCCGUUCAUGACCUGCGUUUUUGCAUAAGAAUACGGUGGGAGUUUCGCUGAGCGAUUGUUGUCACUUAGAGCAAAUUAUUGCUACUUGUAGCAAAUUGCACCAUUAAAUAAAAGG